AAUGAACGCUGGCGGCGCGCCUAAUACAUGCAAGUCGAGCGAGAAGACGUAGCAAUACGUUUGUAAAGCGGCGAACGGGUGAGGAAUACAUGGGUAACCUACCCUCGAGUGGGGAAUAACUAGCCGAAAGGUUAGCUAAUACCGCGUACGCUUCUUGGACUUCGGUUCAGGGAGGAAAGCGAUACCGUGGGUAUCGCGCUCUUGGAUGGGCUCAUGUCCUAUCAGCUUGUUGGUGAGGUAACGGCUCACCAAGGCUUUGACGGGUAGCUGGUCUGAGAGGACGAUCAGCCACACUGGCACUGCGACACGGGCCAGACUCCUACGGGAGGCAGCAGUAAGGAAUAUUGCGCAAUGGGCGAAAGCCUGACGCAGCGACGCCGCGGUGGGGGA
rnacentral:rRNA from 1 species